rnacentral:rRNA from 1 species
AACGAACGCUGGCGGCAGGCUUAACACAUGCAAGUCGAACGGUUGUAGCAAUACAGCAGUGGCGCACGGGUAAGUAACGCGUGGAUAUCUGCCUUUUAGUUCGGAAUAACUCCGGGAAACUGGAGCUAAUACCGGAUGGUUCCUACGGGAUAAAGAUUUAUCGCCAAAAGAUGAGUCCGCGUACGAUUAGCUAGUUGGUGGGGUAAUGGCCCACCAAGGCGACGAUCGUUAGCUGGUCUGAGAGGACGAUCAGCCACACUGGGACUGAGACACGGCCCAGACUCCUACGGGAGGCAGCAGUGGGGAAUCUUGGACAAUGGGCGCAAGCCUGAUCCAGCCAUGCCGCGUGAGUGACGAAGGCCUUAGGGUUGUAAAGCUCUUUUGCCGGGGACGAUAAUGACGGUACCCGGAGAAUAAGUCCCGGCUAACUUCGUGCCAGCCGCCGCCGUAAAAC